GACGAACGCUGGCGGCGUGCUUAACACAUGCAAGUCGAACGGAAAGGCCCUGCUUUUGUGGGGUGCUCGAGUGGCGAACGGGUGAGUAACACGUGAGUAACCUGCCCUUGACUUUGGGAUAACUUCAGGAAACUGGGGCUAAUACCGGAUAGGAGCUCCUGCUGCAUGGUGGGGGUUGGAAAGUUUCGGCGGUUGGGGAUGGACUCGCGGCUUAUCAGCUUGUUGGUGGGGUAGUGGCUUACCAAGGCUUUGACGGGUAGCCGGCCUGAGAGGGUGACCGGCCACAUUGGGACUGAGAUACGGCCCAGACUCCUACGGGAGGCAGCAGUGGGGAAUAUUGCACAAUGGGCCGAAGCCUGAUGCAGCAACGCCGCGUGCGGGAUGACGGCCUUCGGGUUGUAAACCGCUUUCGCCUGUGACGAAGCGUGAGUGACGGUAAUGGGUAAAGAAGCACCGGCUAACUACGUG
rnacentral:rRNA from 1 species